GACGAACGCUGGCGGCGUGCUUAACACAUGCAAGUCGAACGGAAAGGCCCUGCUUUUGUGGGGUGCUCGAGUGGCGAACGGGUGAGUAACACGUGAGUAACCUGCCCUUGACUUUGGGAUAACUUCAUGAAACUGGGGCUAAUACCUGAUAGGAGCUCCUGCUGCAUGGUGGGGGUUGGAAAGUUUCGGCGGUUGGGGAUGGACUCGCGGCUUAUCAGCUUGUUGGUGGGGUAGUGGGUUACCAAGGCUUUGACGGGUAGCCGGCCUGAGAGGGUGACCGGCAACAUUGGGACUGAGAUACGGACCAGACUCCUACGGGAGGCAACAGUGGGGAAUAUUGCACAAUGGGCGGAAGCCUGAGGCAGCAACGUCGCGUGCGGGAUGACGGCCUUCGGGUUGUAAACCGCUUUCGCCUGUGACGAAGCGUGAGUGACGGUAAUGGGUAAAGAAGCACCGGCUAACUACGUG
rnacentral:rRNA from 1 species